UUCAAGUAAUCCAGGAUAGGCUGUUUCCAUCGGGAGGCCUGUUCUUGAUUACUUGUUUC
rnacentral:pre_miRNA from 1 species